UACGGGGGGGGCAAGCGUUGUUCGGAAUUACUGGGCGUAAAGGGCUCGUAGGUGGCCAACUAAGUCAGACGUGAAAUCCCUCGGCUUAACCGGGGAACUGCGUCUGAUACUGGAUGGCUGGAGUUUGGGAGAGGGAUGCGGAAUUCCUGGUGUAGCGGUGAAAUGCGCAGAUAUCAGGAGGAACACCGAUUGCGAAGGCAGCUCGCUGGGACGUCACUGACGCUGAGACGCGAAAGCGUGGGGAGCGAACAGG
rnacentral:rRNA from 1 species